CAGUGGGGAAUUUUGGACAAUGGGCGAAAGCCUGAUCCAGCAAUGCCGCGUGUGUGAAGAAGGCCUUCGGGUUGUAAAGCACUUUUGUCCGGAAAGAAAUCCUUGGCUCUAAUACAGUCGGGGGAUGACGGUACCGGAAGAAUAAGCACCGGCUAACUACGUGCCAGCAGCCGCGGUAAUACGUAGGGUGCAAGCGUUAAUCGGAAUUACUGGGCGUAAAGCGUGCGCAGGCGGUUUGCUAAGACCGAUGUGAAAUCCCCGGGCUCAACCUGGGAACUGCAUUGGUGACUGGCAGGCUAGAGUAUGGCAGAGGGGGGUAGAAUUCCACGUGUAGCAGUGAAAUGCGUAGAGAUGUGGAGGAAUACCGAUGGCGAAGGCAGCCCCCUGGGCCAAUACUGACGCUCAUGCACGAAAGCGUGGGGAGCAAACAGGAUUAGAUACCCUGGUAGUCCACGCCCUAAACGAUGUCAACUAGUUGUUGGGGAUUCAUUUCCUUACUAACGUAGCUAACGCGUGAAGUUGACCGCCUGGGGAGUACGGUCGCGAGAUUAAAACUCAAA
rnacentral:rRNA from 1 species